UACGUAGGGGGCGAGCGUUGUCCGGAUUUACUGGGCGUAAAGCGCACGUAGGCGGCUUUGUAAGUUAGAGGUGAAAGCCCGGAGCUCAACUCCGGAAUUGCCUUUAAGACUGCAUCGCUAGAAUUGUGGAGAGGUGAGUGGAAUUCCGAGUGUAGAGGUGAAAUUCGUAGAUAUUCGGAAGAACACCAGUGGCGAAGGCGACUCACUGGACACAUAUUGACGCUGAGGUGCGAAAGCGUGGGGAGCAAACAGG
rnacentral:rRNA from 1 species